rnacentral:tRNA from 1 species
GCGGGGGUCGCCUAGCCCGGUAUGGCGUGGGACUUGAGAUCCCAUGGGCUUACGCCCACGAGGGUUCAAAUCCCUCCCCCCGCGCCU